rnacentral:rRNA from 1 species
AGAGUUUGAUUAUGGCUCAGGAUGAACGCUAGCGGCAGGCUAACACAUGCAAGUCGAGGGCAGCGGGAUGUAGCAAUACAUUGCCGGCGACCGGCGGAUGGGUGCGUAACGCGUAUGCAACCUACCUUAUACAGGGGAAUAACCUUUCGAAAGGGAGACUAACACCCCAUAGUAUUGAUUUAAGGCAUCUUAGAUUAAUUAAAUAUUUAUAGGUAUAAGAUGGGCAUGCGUAUGAUUAGCUAGUUGGUAAGGUAACGGCUUACCAAGGCGACGAUCAUUAGGGGUUCUGAGAGGAAGGUCCCCCACACUGGUACUGAGACACGGACCAGACUCCUACGGGAGGCAGCAGUGAGGAAUAUUGGUCAAUGGGCGCAAGCCUGAACCAGCCAUGCCGCGUGCAGGAAGACGGCCUUAUGGGUUGUAAACUGCUUUUACAUAAGACUAACCGUAUAUUUGCGAAUAUACCUGAAUGUAUUAUGAGAAUAAGGAUCGGCUAACUCCGUGCCAGCCGCCGC